rnacentral:rRNA from 1 species
GACGAACGCUGGCGGCGUGCCUAAUACAUGCAAGUAGAACGCUGAAGAGAGGAGCUUGCUCUUCUUGGAUGAGUUGCGAACGGGUGAGUAACGCGUAGGUAACCUGCCUUGUAGCGGGGGAUAACUAUUGGAAACGAUAGCUAAUACCGCAUAACAAUGGAUGACACAUGUCAUUUAUUUGAAAGGGGCAAUUGCUCCACUACAAGAUGGACCUGCGUUGUAUUAGCUAGUAGGUGAGGUAAUGGCUCACCUAGGCGACGAUACAUAGCCGACCUGAGAGGGUGGACGGCCACACUGGGACUGAGACACGGCCCAGACUCCUACGGGAGGCAGCAGUAGGGAAUCUUCGGCAAUGGGGGCAACGCUGACCGAGCAACGCCGCGUGAGUGAAGAAGGUUUUCGGAUCGUAAAGCUCUGUUGUAAGUCAAGAACGGGUGUGAGAGUGGAAAGUUCACACUGUGACGGUAGCUUACCAGAAAGGGACGGCUAACUACGUG